UACGGAGGGUGCAAGCGUUGCUCGGAAUUAUUGGGCGUAAAGGGUAGGUAGGUGGUCUCAUUUGUCUGGGGUGAAAGCCUUGAGCUUAACUCAAGAAGUGCCCCAGAAACGGUGAGACUGGAGUCCUGGAGAGGGUCGUGGAAUUCCCGGCGUAGCGGUGAAAUGCGUAGAGAUCGGGAGGAACACCAGAGGCGAAAGCGGCGACCUGGACAGGCACUGACACUCAACUACGAAAGCGUGGGGAGCAAACAGG
rnacentral:rRNA from 1 species